CCUACGGGAGGCAGCAGUAGGGAAUUUUGCGCAAUGGGCGAAAGCCUGACGCAGCAACGCCGCGUGAUCGAGACGCCCUUCGGGGUGUAAAGAUCUGUCAGUGGGGACGAAACUUGACGGUACCCACCGAGGAAGCACCGGCUAACUCCGGGCCAGCAGCCGCGGUAAUACGGGGGGUGCAAGAGUUGUCCGGAAUCAUUGGGCGUAAAGAGUUCGUUGGCGGCACGGAAAGUCUGGUGUUAAAGGCAGGGGCUAAACUUCUGUACGGCAGUGGAUACUUGCGAGCUAGAGUGCGGUAGAGGUAAGGGGAAUUCCUGGUGUAGCGGUGAAAUGCUUAGAUAUCAGGAGGAACAGCGGUGGCGAAGGCGCUUUACUGGGCCGUAAUUGACGCUGAGGAGCGAAAGCCAGGGUAGCAAAUGGGAUUAGAUACCCGAGUAGUC
rnacentral:rRNA from 1 species